rnacentral:rRNA from 1 species
UACGGAGGGGGCUAGCGUUGUUCGGAAUUACUGGGCGUAAAGCGCGCGUAGGCGGCUUUGUAAGUUAGAGGUGAAAUCCCAGGGCUCAACCUUGGAACUGCCUUUGAAACUGCGGGUCUUGAGUUCGAGAGAGGUGAGUGGAAUUCCGAGUGUAGAGGUGAAAUUCGUAGAUAUUCGGAGGAACACCAGUGGCGAAGGCGGCUCACUGGCUCGAUACUGACGCUGAGGUGCGAAAGCGUGGGGAGCAAACAGG